rnacentral:rRNA from 1 species
GACGAACGCUGGCGGCGUGCUUAACACAUGCAAGUCGAACGGAAAGGCCCUGCUUUUGUGGGGUGCUCGAGUGGCGAACGGGUGAGUAACACGUGAGUAACCUGCCCUUGACUUUGGGAUAACUUCAGGAAACUGGGGCUAAUACCGGAUAGGAGCUCCUGCUGCAUGGUGGGGUUGGAAAGUUUCGGCGGUUGGGGAUGGACUCGCGGCUUAUCAGCUUGUUGGUGGGGUAGUGGCUUACCAAGGCUUUGACGGGUAGCCGGCCUGAGAGGGUGACCGGCCACAUUGGGACUGAGAUACGGCCCAGACGCCUACGGGAGGCAGCAGUGGGGAAUAUUGCACAAUGGGCGGAAGCCUGAUGCAGCAACGCCGCGUGCGGGAUGACGGCCUUCGGGUUGUAAACCGCUUUCGCCUGUGACGAAGCGUGAGUGACGGUAAUGGGUAAAGAAGCACCGGCUAACUACGUG